GGGAGCAAUGCCACGGCCUUUUAUUCUUUCGCAUGCAUUGUACGCAGAGUAUUCACAGUGAUUCUGGGAAAGAUGUGUAUUUCUGGCAAACUUACGGGCGUAUGAUAGGGUUUAUUCGCAAUUACGGUGAAAAUCCGUAUGAUUUUUACGUAAAUGAGCUUGGUUUUAUUCACUGAUGAGGCCUAUGCUGCCCUCUACUGACAAGAAAGGCUCCUGCCUCUUACCAAGGACGAUUCCCAGGCAGAAACAGCCCUUUUGCAACAAAGUGUGGGACAAGUCUGAAGUUGUACAGAAGAGGAGCUGAAAAACUGGAAGAAGACAGCAUGGCUUUUCAGAACUGGCGCAGUCUUCCUUUAGCAGGGAAGACACAAGGAGCAUGAUUAGCCCUGUGUGAGGAGUCUUCCCAGGAACAGAGAUCAGAACAAAGGAUGCCACUAUUUGAGGGAGGUUCCUUACUCACAGCCUUCUCCAUUAAACUAUGUUUGGUCUAAUUAA